UGACCUCGAAUCAGGUAGGAAUACCCGCUGAACUUAAGCAUAUCAAU
rnacentral:rRNA from 1 species